UACGAAGGGGGCUAGCGUUGCUCGGAAUCACUGGGCGUAAAGCGCACGUAGGCGGAUUGUUAAGUCAGGGGUGAAAUCCUGGAGCUCAACUCCAGAACUGCCUUUGAUACUGGCGAUCUCGAGUCCGGGAGAGGUGAGUGGAACUGCGAGUGUAGAGGUGAAAUUCGUAGAUAUUCGCAAAGAACACCAGUGGCGAAGGCGGCUCACUGGCCCGGUACUGACGCUGAGGUGCGAAAGCGUGGGGAGCAAAGGG
rnacentral:rRNA from 1 species